AGAAAAAGAAAGAGAACGGGCGCCAUCUAGGUUUUCGUAGCGAUGUUCUUGUUUUUUGUUGGUUUUGCCUGCAAUCUCUUUGUUUUAGACUUGGUUUUGUGAAAUGGCUUAAUUAUCUUCCUCUGCCGUGAGGCAGAAAAAGGUCUGCGAUGUUUUCUGUUUGAAGGAGUUCUCUUUUGGACCUAGGUUGAGAGUGUCUGGAGGAGUCUUCUCCAGAUUCCAGGGAGGGUUAUCGUUUGCGUUCGAUAUCUGUAUCUUAGAACCGCACCGCCACGUCCGCUGAACCACGCUCCCGUAAAACUCUAUGGCGUCCCUUGCUUGGUGUUUCAGGAAGUUCUCAGUCUAGCCGAAGACCUUCUCUACUGAUCUGAUCCAUGGUGUAGUGCUACUGCCUGAUGAUGUUUCUUGUUGCUCUAUUGUGAUUAUUUGUGGUUUUUGCAGCGGUUGUUUGGCUUGCAAUCGUCUUCUCGGCAUUGUGAUGCCGUUUUUUGCCCUGUUUUUUCCUUGCUCUGUUUGUCGACGCAACAGGCGGUGUUAGUCAAUUCGAGGAUGGUUUCUGGA